ensembl:lincRNA
UCAUUGCUAUAUUUUCUUUUUUUAUUAUUAUAUAUUUUCUUUAUUUACAUAUCGAAUGUUAUUCCUUUCCUCAUUCACCUCUGAAAACCUCCUAUCCCAUCCCCCCUCCCCCUGCUCACCAACCCACCCACUUCUGCUUCCCUGUCCUGGCAUUCCCCACACUGGGGCAUCGAACUUCACAGGACCAAGGGCCUCUCCUCCCAUUGAUGUCUGACAAGGCCACCCUCUGCUACAUAUGUGGCUGAAGCCAUGGGUUCCUCCAUGUGUACUCUUUGGUUGGUGGUUUACCUAUCUAUUGCUAUGAUAAAACAUCAUGAUCUAUAUAUUAUCUAUCUAUCUAUCUAUCUAUCUAUCUAUCUAUCUAUCUAUCUAUCUAUCUAACUAUCUAUCGAGAGGGAGAUAGAGAGAUAGAUGAUACAGAUAUACAUAUAGAUGAUAUAGACAUAGAUAGACAUAGACAUAGGCAUAGGCAUAGACAUAGACAUAGACAUAGACAUAGACAUAGACAUAGACAGACAUAGACAUGAGUUUAUUUAGGACUUAUAGUAUCAGAGGAGAAAUGUACAUAACUACCCUGGUGGAUUGCACACAUGGGGGUGCAGCUGUAGUGGAGCAUUCACAGCUUGAUCUACAAGCAUGAGGCAGAGGAAACUCCACAGUGCAAGUCUUUUGACAGCUGAAAGACUGCCCCCUAUGUGGCACACCUACUCCACUAGCUCCUCAUCCUUCCAAAAUAGUUAACUAUCUAGGGGCCAAGGAUUCAAACCUAAGAGCCCCUGCUGCCAGUCUCAUUCAAACUACCACACUUGCUAAUAUUGUUUACAUUCUCAAUGGCUUCACAUAAAAACAGUAGAUUUUUCUCUGUCUUGCAGGACGGGGGUUGGUGGGGAGUUGAGAAGGUCAUUCGGGCAUAGGCUACCGUAUCAUAUGGCUCUACCUUUCUAGAGCCACAUUCUCCUCUAUGCUCACUCAGUGUAUGUGAAAUGAGGAAGAAUGUGGUAGCCUAAAGUUGCUUAUGUGACUUCAACAAUAUUUUGUCAGCCAGACCUCACUGCAAUGACUCAAUCUUAAUCAGAAGGGAGACUUGGGAGUGUUGUACAGUUUGCUUCCCAAAGAGAAGAAAAUGGAGGUCUGCUAACUCCGACCUGUAACUGCUAAGUUACUAGCUAGGGUGAUCUAGAGAUUAGUUGUGCCCAUCAUACAAUAUUCUUUAUACCUCAAGACUUCACACUAUGACUUUUUCUAAUACAAUGGAUUAACCACUAUCUACAUUGGGUUUAAUUGUCAACACGUUUUAAGUUUCAGUGUGUCACUUAUUACAGUUUGAUAUGACCAAAAAUGGCGAGAAUUUGAUUGACAAAUACACUUUUUAUUUAAGAAGAAACCUUGUACAUUAAAGACAGAAAUAAACAAGUUUCUGAAAAAUUAUAAUCCAGAAAGAGAGGUUGUUGCUGCUGUUGUUGUUGUUGUUGUUGUUCUGAUGACAUUGCCUGUUUGUGCCCACAAUUUAGGGCAGAAGACUUGUUUAUCAAACUUGAGUCUAACUGACUUUAGUUAGUGGGUAUUUGUAGGUCUCCUACAAUCAGAAUCCCUUGAAGGAGACAGGGUCACUUCUAUUUUAUUAAGUGUGUCUUUCUUGUAGGAAACAUUUCUUCACCACUAAUCUUUCAACUACUAACUGAUCUGGGAUGUGUUCCUUUAAAUGAAACAAGCAAGUAGGCACAAUUAACUCACAAUAACUAGAGGCAAUUCAAAUGUUUUCCUGUUUUACUGUAGGCAAACUGCUGUAGCAACUCCUAAGAAAUGACCAAUUUAGCACUUGCUUUGAAAUGUGCUUAAAUGUGAGUUUCAAGAAAAAAAAAAAAAGACCAUCCCUUGACUUUUGUCAAUAAGGAAAUUGAAUUUUCCUUUGGGAGACUCUAUAUCUUCUGUCCCACAGAAAGGAAGAAUUAUUUUGUAAAUACGGUGUGUGCUCCAAUUUUACAGGUUUUCUCUGAUUGCCUGGUUGUGAGUAACCAACUGAAAAGGUUCAUUCAAAUCAGAAAUGUAAGACACUCUUUAUAGUGUGAUAUUUUAAAACUUGCAUAUCUGGCUGAGAAUUUUAUAAGCAGAGAUUUAAGAGGGCAGAUUUGAGGACUGACUGGUCUCCAAGAGUCUCUCCUAACCUUGAAAUAUUAGUAUAUCAAAAGUCAGGAUUUCAUUUACCCCUCUAUCCAUAAAGGAAAUUAAAAUCAUAUGUGGUAUAGUAAGCUCAAACCAUUCAGAAUGCCCAUAAAUAUAUUUUAAAGCCCAAAAUACAAGUGUUGCACAACUCUGAGAACCAUGCACAACUCUAGACAAGAGGCACUCACACAUGGUAGCAGUAAUUACUUUAUUUUAUGCAUUUUAUGUUUUGACAAGAGCAUUGUUUGGUGGCUGUGGCAACUUAGUUGCAAAGAUUCCUGUGUACCACACACGAGGAAAACACUAUGAAUUCUUAUCCUUGAUUGGAAGGAGAUAACAGGUUGUCUGUCUCAAAUACAUGGCCAACAACAGUAGAUGGUACGUGUAAUCCCUGCACAUCUCUUUUCUGAGUUCUAGCAGAAUUUCUAUGGGUGAAAUUUAAUUAAUUGCAUAUACUUAAAAUAUUUUAUUUAGUACACAUAUCUCAUUUGCCUAUAUGUGUACCGCAUGUGUACCAACUGUUGAAAGACGUUAGAAAAGAGUGUUGAGCCUCUGAAACUGGCAUUAAAAGUGGUUGUGUGUCACCAUGUAGGUGCUGGGUAUUGAACCCAAGUCCUCUGCUAAAGCAGAAGUGCUCUUAACUGCUGAGCCAUCUCUUCAUCCCUUACCCAUACAUAAUUUUAGUGAAAAACCUAACUUCUUGCACUGGUCAUUCUGGGCCUGGGGGAGAAAGCCCCUCUCCUAUCACUGUUUGAAAUAGAGAUGUGUCAACACCAACCUUAAUUAACUUCCACUAGAACAUAACAUAUGUUAUAGAAAGAUGUAGGAAGUGUGAAAUCCUUUGGGGAAAAAAAAUGGGAAUUUCUCAGAAUCUGACUGAGUGGGAGGAAAGUUAUUAAUUAUUUUACUGUUAAUAUUAUUUCAUUUCUUUGCAGUACUAGGAAUAAACCCCAGACCUAACGAAGUUCAACAAGCAGUUGUCACCCAGCUACAAACCCACCCUUUUGACUUUGUACUCUUAUUGUCCCUCUUAGUUCCACUCUCAACAUGUGAGGUUAUUAGGUUAACAAGCACCCAGAGAGGAAGGCAAAAU